GUUUCAAUUCCUUGGGAUUGUUUGCCAUUUUUGCAAACGAUUCCCUUAUCGAUUCCAGUCGCCCUGAAUGACGUCACCGCGUUGCGGAGCGUCAUUUACCUGACAGGAAACAUGGCGGCUCAAACGAUCAAAAGUUUGGUUAUACUUUACGAGAGUGGAUGACAACAGGGCAACUUGCAAUACUUGCAAAGUAGAUGCUUCAUUUAAGGAAACACUACGAAUAACACGCGAUGACCUUAAAUGAAUGUCGUGUUUUUAAUUCCGCUCCGGACUCGUGAAUCUCAACCCAGCAGCAGCAGUAACGUUUGCACGUCCUCUCCCGUUAAUGCGGCAGGUAAAUAAUCAACUAACAGUGCAUAUUAUGUUAGCGCGAUCUGCCUUAUUACAAACCUGCCAUUAUUGUGCAUUUAGUGACCAUGAUGAGACAGAGUCUGGCUCAGAUGCUGGCAGCUCUCGCUGCAGUCUGCCGGCAGCGUCUCCUUUCAGGCCAGGAUAGACGAAUGUCACCGAGCAGUGACUCAGUUUGUGGUCAAAGGCUUGCACCCGUUUGCCACAGCAGAUGUAAGUGAAUGUGUUUAAUUGUAGGCAGGGACAUUACUGGAUAUUCUUGUGUAAUUGCUACAGAAUAAUUUAUGUUAUACUUUGUUAUUGCUACAGAAGAAUAUUUAUUUUAUUAUUUUACAUUUACAAUUGUUUUCCUGGGGACCCUGUGACGCCCCAUUGAAGAGCCGUAGGCUGGAUCUCUUAAGAUCUCACUGCUGGGUUUGUAAGGCCAUGUUACUCCUAAAUUUCUACCUUGUUCAAAGAGAAGAUAUAAAACAAAGUUCUAAGCUACUCGACCUUAGUGUUCUCCUUUUUUAAAAAGAAUCGAUAAAGAAUCGAAUCGUUAAACAGAAUCGAAAAUGGAAUCGGAAUCGUGAAAAUCUUAUCAAUACCCAUCCCUGUGUAUGAGUGUCUUGCACCUUGCAGUGAACUGUCUGUGUUUACUUUCAUGCAGUCUUCUCUUUAUGGUAGAUUUGGAUAUCGGUACAACCUCCUGGAGUGUUGUUCACUUGGUUGGCUUCACCGUGGAAUGAUUUUGCGUAGGGGUGUCAAAUUAUCGCGUUAAUUGCGAUUAAUUAAUUACAAUGCUAUUUAGCGCGUUAUGUUUUUUAAUCUCGUUAAUCUAAUUUUUAAUCUCUUGACGUCAUUGAUUUUGUAUGAGAGUCAAGGUGAGAAGUGGUGAUUAGCUUACAGUGUGGAUAUGGAGGCGCAUCUGAGAGUUGUUGGCC
ensembl:lncRNA